rnacentral:rRNA from 1 species
AUGGAGAAUCGUGGACAGAACUACCGGAAUCGGCGUCCACAGCCGCCUAAGAAGCAUGUACCACCACCGGUAGGGAAAGCUCCAGCACCCGCUGUGGCAAAUCCUGCUCCACAAUGGGGGACCAGACCGGCGGGAGGUGCACAACAGACAGCGACGAAUCCGAAGCCAAACCCAACUCCGAUUGCCCCUGCACCUCAGCCACCACCUCUGGUACAGCCCCUGGAUCCCAAAUACAAAGAUAUGACUUGCUUCAAUUGUAGUUGGCCUGGUCAUUAUGUUGGGAAUUGCAUUGAGCCGAAGAAGUGCUUCAUCUGUGCUGGGAAUCGUAAUGUGAAUAAUUGUGCGGCCUGGGCUUGUUCACAACCAACAGCAACAUACUUUGGUAGUGCAGCUGCAAGUCUGGGCUUUUAUCAUGUGGAUGUCCCUGUAGCGACUGUGACUAGUUGGUUAAAUUACAAAAAUUGUGCUGUGUUGAAGGUGGUCAAAGGUGAAGUUUCUACUUCAGAGCUUUUGGUGCAGCUAAAUGGGAUCUUUUGCAAAACUAAAGAGUGGCCAUGGCAGAUCAGAGAGUUAGAGGUGAAAAAAAUUUGCUGA